UCCUACGGGAGGCAGCAGUGGGGAAUAUUGCACAAUGGGCGCAAGCCUGAUGCAGCAACGCCGCGUGAGGGACGAAGGCCUUCGGGUUGUAAACCUCUUUUAGUAGGGAAGAAGCGACUGGGUUUUCCUGGGAGUGACGGUACCUGCAGAAAAAGCACCGGCUAACUACGUGCCAGCAGCCGCGGUAAUACGUAGGGUGCAAGCGUUGUCCGGAAUUAUUGGGCGUAAAGAGCUCGUAGGCGGUUUGUCGCGUCUGCUGUGAAAACCCGAGGCUCAACCUCGGGCCUGCAGUGGAUACGGGCAGACUAGAGUGCGGUAGGGGAGAUUGGAAUUCCUGGUGUAGCGGUGGAAUGCGCAGAUAUCAGGAGGAACACCAAUGGCGAAGGCAGAUCUCUGGGCCGUAACUGACGCUGAGGAGCGAAAGCAUGGGGAGCGAACAGGAUUAGAUACCCUGGUAGUCCAUGCCGUAAACGUUGGGAACUAGAUGUGGGGACCAUUCCACGGUCUCCGUGUCGCAGCUAACGCAUUAAGUUCCCCGCCUGGGGAGUACGGCCGCAAGGCUAAAACUCAAAGGAAUUGACGGGGGCCCGCACAAGCGGCGGAGCAUGCGGAUUAAUUCGAUGCAACGCGAAGAACCUUACCAAGGCUUGACAUAUACCGGAAACGGCUGGAAACAGUCGCCCCGCAAGGUCGGUAUACAGGUGGUGCAUGGUUGUCGUCAGCUCGUGUCGUGAGAUGUUGGGUUAAGUCCCGCAACGAGCGCAACCCUCGUCCUAUGUUGCCAGCACGUAAUGGUGGGAACUCAUGGGAUACUGCCGGGGUCAACUCGGAGGAAGGUGGGGAUGACGUCAAAUCAUCAUGCCCCUUAUGUCUUGGGCUUCACGCAUGCUACAAUGGCCGGUACAAAGGGCUGCGAUACCGCAAGGUGGAGCGAAUCCCAAAAAGCCGGUCUCAGUUCGGAUUGAGGUCUGCAACUCGACCUCAUGAAGUCGGAGUCGCUAGUAAUCGCAGAUCAGCAACGCUGCGGUGAAUACGUUCCCGGGCCUUGUACACACCGCC
rnacentral:rRNA from 1 species